rnacentral:rRNA from 1 species
UACGUAGGGGGCGAGCGUUGUCCGGAUUUAUUGGGCGUAAAGCGCAUGCAGGCGGUCCUGUAAGUUUGAAGUGACAGUUUCCGGCUCAACCGGGAAAGUGCUUUGAAAACUGCGGGACUUGAGGGCUUCAGAGGGACACGGAAUUCCGGGUGGAGUGGUGAAAUGCGUAGAUAUCCGGAGGAACACCGAAGGCGAAGGCAGUGUCCUGGGGAGCGACUGACGCUCAGAUGCGAAAGCCAGGGGAGCGAACGGG